GGUGAGCUUGAACCACCAUCCUUUCGGUUACUAUACGGAGACGAUUAGCAUGGCCCUUGCGAAUUGAUGACACGCAAAUUCGUGAAGCGUUUCCAUAUUUU